AACAAAUCUUUAAUUUAACAACAUCUAUGAGUUAAAAAAAAUAUCCAAGAACUCUUUAUACAAAAUGGGAAUAUUAGCAAAGCGUAUACACACCCUACUGUAUUACCUUAGCACUACUUGUACAGCCGAGGGCAUAAGUGCUAACUAAAUAUAUCACAAAAAAGUUAUUACACUAAGGUUGGUUUAGAUUAACGGCCAAAAUCAUAAUCAAUCCUGUGUUUAAUCUGUCGAUAAGUUACUUUGCAACGUUGUUAUUGGUCCAAAUUUACAAGUAACAAUGAUGCCAAAUGGUUGCCAAGUAAAUCAACCGUUAAUCUAAAACAUGACACAAAAAAAUUUAGCUAUAUAGUAAUUAUUUCAUCAAACUUAUAGCAAAUCAUAACGGAAGGUUGACCAAAAGGUCGAGACAAUAAAAACGUGAUAAAAACAAUUAAAAUACAAUGCAUGUAAAAUAAUUUCGUAAUAGAGUUAGCUUUUGUAUACACGGAAGUUUUUGAUCACGCGUUAAAAAAAGCGUCUAAUGAAACACAAGCCAAAAUCGAUGCAAGGGUCCGUGAAUUCGAGACAGUUUUAUAAAAAAAACGUUAAUUCAGGAAAGCUUCUAAGCUAACGGCACUGAUCUCUACUAAUACAAGUCUGCUGGACUUGCGAUUGCCGACCUGUUUCUCAAGCAACUUGAUUAUCACAACAUUGACGCUGAUAGCAAUUUUGUGAGCGUCAUGUGAGUGUACUCGGAACUAAAAGUUAGUGUUGAGACAUCUGUCAACACAACCAUUUGACACAGUGUCAAUUUUAAUACUCGGUCCGCUCGGUGUGGCGCUUUAAAUUAGCACAAAUAUAACUGUCAUUUUGUGUGGCACAUUUUCUCAGCCUACUCGUAUACAAUGUUUUUUUAACUGGGACAUUAUCGGGAAAUCUAAAACCUUUGGAGAUAAAUGAAAACUGCCUUAGGAAACUUUAGGUCUUUUUUUGUGAAAUCAAUUUUGGCAUAAUACAUUUUUGGUCAAGCGUGAGUUGUCCAUAAAAAUCAAUGAGAUAGAUUAAUUUUUUUGGUGCCCAUUUUAGUAACGGCCAUAUACUCAAAAUUAACUCUAAAACCUAAGAGCUCCAAAAUACUAAGUGAUUGUUUAAGUAUUCACAUAUAUAUGGAUGAAAUACAAAAAACUAGAAAGUACCCUUGCUUUUAAGAUGAUUAUAUUAAGAACGCACUCUAUACAAACAAAGUUUAUUGAAAAUUAUUGAUUGAAUCGAACUUAACUUUUCUGUAUUUGGCUGUGAAUCCAUAUUCUUUUUAUGUUCAAAAACUUUUAACGCAUGUUAGAAAACCACCCGUGAGAAUAAAGGUUUAAAACAUAAGUUAUAGGAAAAAUGCAUUUUACUAAAAUCUAUUCUAUUACUAUACAAAGUUGCCGUAGACAUUUUUUUUAAUUAUAUACACUCAGCCGUACAUUUUAUAUUACAUACAUAAUAAAAUAUGACAUUGCUACAGUAUGCCACUAAAUAAAUAGUUUAAUUGGUGUCAAACUAUCUGAUGUAUUUUAUCAUAAUAUUAUAAUUAAUUUGAAAUUUGUUUUUUUUUUUGUAUUUAUUUUUUGUCCUUUACAUCGCUUCAGUUCCAUGAGCUAUUUACGUCUCAAAUUUAUUUAACAGCUUAAGAACUAAAAUGACACAAAACAAAAUAUGUACCCAUUAUGAAUCAACAAAUAGGUAUCAUUUUGUUUUAAGUCACUUUAUUUCUGAAGUUGCGUACCCUAAGAUAAAAAUUAAAAUACCUAUUUUACUUUCUCACUUGUUUUAUUUAAUUAAUUCAUAUAGCGUUAAAAUUAAUAUUUAAAUUCAUUAAAUUAAAAUAUUAUUUAACUUUUACAGUUUUUCCUGUACCUGGUAUUUGACUGUACCUGGAACUUAAAUGAAUAUUUCCAUUUUGUAUCAGGCAUUAAAAUUGUAAGAAUUUUUCUGUAGACCUCUAUACAAUUAGCAGAUCUCUGGUUCCGAUCCCGGUUAGAGCAACUGACUUCUGAAAUCUGUAGAACGUACUUAGACAUUGCUCAGAUUUAAUAAAGAGUAUAUACUGAGUCAAAUCAUAAGACAGGGCUUGUUACUGUAUUUAACUGAAAUCAGCCAAAAAAAACAGACUUCUGCAUUUAUCGCAAGCGCAGCAGUAUCGCAUCCCUCGAUCAAAACUGUCUCAACUCAAAAUACACUUUUUUUCGGACACUAUAUAAAUAACAGAGAUCUAAAGACGAUAUUAACAUUAUAAAAGAAGAAAGAAGGAAGAAUUGUGUUCUGAAUAUUACAUAAUGCACUAUACAUACUCAAUUGAAUACUACUGCAGUUUUCCCUGUAGAUAAAUAAAAUGAUCGAGUCAGGGAUCAAAAACAGGGCAUAUCAAAAAGCAAGAUUUUUGAGUAGAAACAGUUUUGAUUUAGAGUUGCAAUAUACUCCUAUCUCUUCACAAAUCUGUCUUAUAAUGCUUAAGUUAAAGAUUCCAGCCUUAGGUGCAAGGCAUAUUGGCGUAGUUGAUGCGCAGUGACACAACUUUUUCCAAUUGAAUUUUAACUCCAUUUCGUCAUGUGAUAAUCGAUCAUUCAAUGUGAAAAUCCAUGCGCUUAGAAUGUAGAAUAUGUUGCGCUCAAGUAAUCAAUGGCUUAGUUUACAAUAACACUAACACAAUUGUAGAUUUUAUAGGAGAGCUUUUAAAUUUCAGAUAUGACUACCACAAAAAUAGUGCCAUUUUCGGUCUAACUAGCACAAAAAUUGUCCUAUUUUGUGCUAUUUUUGGUAUAAUUAGCACAAAAAUUGCACAAUUUUUGUGCUAGUUAUCCCAAAAUAGCACUAUUUUUGAAGACAUAAUAUCUAAACUUUAAAUAGCUCUCCUGUAAAAUCGUCAAUUGUGUAGUUAGUGUAUCUGUGACCUAAGUCAUUGCUAUUUCAAAGCAUUUCUAAAUGAAUAUUUCUUUAAAUCUAAAGCGGUUACUGAGCACUUUCUUUAAUUAUUAAUAAUUAUAUUUUUGUUUAUUACAUACAUAAUAAUAUAAUAAUGCUCCUUGAAUAAUAAUAUCGCUUUAAACAUUAAAUUACCCUCUAACAAUAUUUACAAGAAAUAUUAAACUUCAUUAAAAUCAACUGUAAAAUAUUACUGUCAACUAUUUAUAUACGAAACAAGCACAAGCUGCAAUUGGGAUGAUGUCUUUGUUUCCUUUUUCUUUUUCACAGGGACCCCGGAUGGGUUCGAAGUAGCCGAGCUUGCAUCGACUAAAUACAUGAGUAUAGCCAGUAUAUUCUAUACGUAUAAUUUAAUGUAUAAACGAUAGUUUAAACAUUAAAAUAACCCAAACUUUAGCAGUCAACCUGCAGUUUGAGGUGCAUGACACGGGUCUAACCGCGAAA